GCGGGACCGACGAGGCAGCAGCAUGGACGGGCACAACUAAUCAGGCAGCGGGACGGACGGGCGUGUGGUGCCUCUCAGCCACGAGUGUGGUGUUUCAGCUAUUUCCUGCGUGGGUAGCGGCCGUCCAGGGAAAGAUAUGAGGGCGUGAGGUGGAAGUGUGUGAGCCAAAGGAGCACCAACACAUUUGAAGAGAGUCCAAGGCAAAGUUCCAUCAGCCACAGAAACACUCGGUCUACUUGUAUCCCAGCGGCGGGCGAGGGCAGUGCUUUGUGCUAGCGUGCGUGGCGUUGCCGUUAGAGAAGUGACAAGUGUGCGUUAAUUUAUCGUUCCUCUUCUGCGUUUUCUUCGCGGUGGGCUCGGUGAGUACCCAUAUCACAGGUCUCAUCGUGGGACAGACAGCGCUGGAGCACCCCUUCGAGAACAGUAAAGUGAAGAUACUGUUUCCUAGGUGUUAGGGCGAUAGGCUGAGCAGCUAAUUUUCAUCGCCUUUCAGGUACAAACUACUUUUUUUUUCAGGUACAUGCUAAUGAAUUAUCCAGUCUUUCCCAGAAUAAUUAUGCCCCUGUCAGUGUACUGUGCCGGCGACCAGAUGGAACCUCAUGCCGGUGAAUAAGAACGGUGCUGUUGGCGGGCGUGCUGCUUUCAUAUGGAUUGCGUGGGAGAUGUAUUCACUCGUCUUGACUGUGCUGGUGGGUGUCCUGAAGAAAUGAUCGCAAAGACGCUAAAUCAAAAUUACACUAGAUAGAGUCGCACAGGUGUAAAAGAUAUUCGGAUGGAAGUCGGAAAAUCUCACCCUGUUCUGACAAUGGAAAAGUAAGAUCAGCAACGGUUGAAGAUACAGCUGGGGAAGAGCAAGUGAGCUGCUAGUGGGCGAAGGAGGCAACGCUGCUAGUGAGGCUAAUGAAGGAGAUGGAUGAAGAUUGUGGUGCACUUGCGUCCUAUGAACUAUGUAAUGUUAACCUAGGUUUUGUCGUUAUUGUAAAUCCUACCGCUUAAAAAUAGAAUAUGUAGCUGAUU